rnacentral:lncRNA from 1 species
GAAGCUAUCUUCACAUCCUCUGGAUAAAAAAGAUUCUCUCUCCACACCAUGAAGCUGCUGCUGAAGGAGGGAAGAGGGCUAGUGUUGGCAAUCCAAGACAGUCUUUUCUACACUCUUCAGUGUCUCGUUAAACUACAUGAAGCUAAAACCAGGCAUCACAACAGGGUGGAAUUGGAGUUGCUCUAUGAAAAAAAGCUGAAGUAUGCAUAGCCUGCCUGAUCACUGGUGUAGAGUCAAAGAAAUAAAGUUUGAACUUGAACAGCAAUGCUUCCUUGGAAUAUUCUCUCCAUGAGGCUUUGGAUGGUAUACUCAUUUGGACAGAAGGUUUCAAAAGAAAGAAGAAGAGAGAGAGGAGAAAAGAAGAAAAGAAAAGAAAAGAAAAGAAAGAAAAGAAAAGAGAAAUGAAAAAAAAAAUAGGAAAACAGAUUCCAGCAUGAUCACAAACAAAACAUCUGACAACUCAAAAAAGUAUCUCCAUGUGUUUCCACACAUGGACCAAUUUGGACUGGAAUGAAAAGUGUGAGCUACCACAAACAGUUCCUCUUCAGGUCAUAUAUGGUGGUCACCCCAACACUAUGCUCUUCUGUAAAACAUUUUACACUUACAGCCUUGUCCAGUUUCUCUCUCCAACAACUUGACUUCCUG